rnacentral:rRNA from 1 species
UACGGAGGGUGCGAGCGUUGUCCGGAAUCAUUGGGCGUAAAGGGCGCGUAGGUGGCCCGGUCAGUCUUUGGUGAAAGCGCGGGGCUCAACCCUGCGUCGGCCAGGGAUACUGCCGCGGCUCGAGCACUGUAGAGGCAGGCGGAAUUCCGGGUGUAGCGGUGGAAUGCGUAGAGAUCCGGAGGAACACCGGUGGCGAAGGCGCUCUGCUAGGCCGCAACUGACACUGAGGGACGAAAGCUAGGGGAGCGAAUGGG